rnacentral:rRNA from 1 species
CCUACGGGAGGCAGCAGUGGGGAAUAUUGCACAAUGGGGGAAACCCUGAUGCAGCGACGCCGCGUGAGUGAAGAAGUAAUUCGGUAUGUAAAGCUCUAUCAGCAGGGAAGAAAAUGACGGUACCUGAGUAAGAAGCCCCGGCUAACUACGUGCCAGCAGCCGCGGUAAUACGUAGGGGGCAAGCGUUAUCCGGAUUUACGUGGUGUAAAGGGAGCGUAGACGGCAGUGCAAGUCUGGAGUGAAAGGCGGGGGCUCAACCCCCGGACUGCUCUGGAAACUGUACGGCUGGAGUGCAGGAGAGGUAAGUGGAAUGCCUAGUGUAGCGGUGAAAUGCGUAGAUAUUAGGAGGAACACCAGUGGCGAAGGCGGCUUACUGGACUGUAACUGACGUUGAGGCUCGAAAGCGUGGGGAGCAAACAGGAUUAGAUACCCGGGUAGUC